AUUGAACGCUGGCGGAAUGCUUUACACAUGCAAGUCGAACGGCAGCACGGACUUCGGUCUGGUGGCGAGUGGCGAACGGGUGAGUAAUGUAUCGGAACGUGCCCAGUCGUGGGGGAUAACGUAGUGAAAAUUACGCUAAUACCGCAUACGAUCUAUGGAUGAAAGCGGGGGAUCGCAAGACCUCGAGCGAUUGGAGCGGCCGAUAUCAGAUUAGGUAGUUGGUGGGGUAAAGGCCCACCAAGCCAACGAUCUGUAGCUGGUCUGAGAGGACGACCAGCCACACUGGAACUGAGACACGGUCCAGACUCCUCCGGGAGGCAGCAGUGGGGAAUUUUGGACAAUGGGCGAAAGCCUGAUCCAGCAAUUCCGCGUGCAGGAUGAAGGCCCUCGGGUUGUAAACUGCUUUUGUACAGAACGAAAAGGUUUCUACUAAUACUAGGAGCUCAUGACGGUACUGUAAGAAUAAGCACCGGCUAACUACGUGCCAGCCGCCGCCGUAA
rnacentral:rRNA from 1 species